GACCAACUAUUUUUAAUUUUGAGAAAUAAAUGAGGGCAAUUUUGGAAUAUUGAAAAGUAAUCUCACAUUACCUAACUAAAACUUGGUAAUCACAUUAUCUCAAAUAUACCCCCAUUUCCUACGUGGCAGUAAUCUUAUAUUACUUACCCUCUCAGAUUACCUAAACCAAACAUGGUAAUCUAAGAUUACCUUUCUCAGAUUACCAAGGUAAUCUGAGAUACCUUGAACCAAACG